rnacentral:rRNA from 1 species
GAUGAACGCUGGCGGCGUGCUUAACACAUGCAAGUCGAACGAUGAAGCUCAGCUUGCUGGGUGGAUUAGUGGCGAACGGGUGAGUAACACGUGAGUAACCUGCCCUUAACUCUGGGAUAAGCCUGGGAAACUAGGUCUAAUACCGGAUAGGAGCGCCUACCGCAUGGUGGGUGUUGGAAAGAUUUAUCGGUUUUGGAUGGACUCGCGGCCUAUCAGCUUGUUGGUGAGGUAAUGGCUCACCAAGGCGACGACGGGUAGCCGGCCUGAGAGGGUGACCGGCCACACUGGGCCUGAGACACGGCCCAGACUCCUACGGGAGGCAGCAGUGGGGAAUAUUGCACAAUGGGCGCAAGCCUGAUGCAGCGACGCCGCGUGAGGGAUGACGGCCUUCGGGUUGUAAACCUCUUUCAGUAGGGAAGAAGCGAAAGUGACGGUACCUGCAGAAGAAGCACCGGCUAACUACGUG